rnacentral:rRNA from 1 species
AUGAACGCUGGCGGCGUGCCUAAUACAUGCAAGUCGAGCGAACAGACGAGGAGCUUGCUCCUCUGACGUUAGCGGCGGACGGGUGAGUAACACGUGGAUAACCUACCUAUAAGACUGGGAUAACUUCGGGAAACCGGAGCUAAUACCGGAUAAUAUAUUGAACCGCAUGGUUCAAUAGUGAAAGACGGUUUUGCUGUCACUCAUAGAUGGAUCCGCGCCGCAUUAGCUAGUUGGUAAGGUAACGGCUUACCAAGGCAACGAUGCGUAGCCGACCUGAGAGGGUGAUCGGCCACCCUGGAACUGAGACACGGUCCAGACUCCUACGGGAGGCAGCAGUAGGGAAUCUUCCGCAAUGGGCGAAAGCCUGACGGAGCAACGCCGCGUGAGUGAUGAAGGUCUUCGGAUCGUAAAACUCUGUUAUUAGGGAAGAACAAAUGUGUAAGUAACUAUGCACGUCUUGACGGUACCUAAUCAGAAAGCCACGGCUAACUACGUG